rnacentral:rRNA from 1 species
UACGGAGGGUGCGAGCGUUGUUCGGAAUCACUGGGCGUAAAGGGCGUGUAGGCGGUCCGCUAAGUCUGAUGUGAAAGCCCGGGGCUCACCCCCGGAAGGGCAUUGGAAACUGACGGACUCGAGUCCCAAAGAGGAGGGUGGAAUUCCUGGUGUAGCGGUGAAAUGCGUAGAUAUCUGGAGGAAUACCGGUGGCGAAGGCGGCAUCCUGGACCGGCAUUGACGCUGAGGAGCGAAAGCUAGGGGAGCAAACGGG